rnacentral:lncRNA from 1 species
AUGAAAUAACAUCAGGAAAAUCUUAUGUUUUAAUCUCUAACUAAUAAGAACUAAAAAGUAACACUUGAGAGAUUGAAAAAUUUCAUGAUAAACAAGAUAGUUUGGGCAUGAUAAGGAAUUAGCUAUGUACAAUUCCAAGUAUGACAUGCAGUAUAAGAAAGAUCUCUUGCCCCUUAAUUCAUCUUGGCUACCUUUCUGAUCAAUCAACCAGGUAAAAAUUCAGAAGACAAAAAGCAAUUUUACUGUAUAAACUAUGCAUUUAAUCUAUGUCAACAGUUAAUAUGAAAUGAUAUAUUAUGCUUAUCAUGUUGAAGAAGCAAACAGACUAAAAGCAAAAGAAGAGGAAGUGAGCAAGUCGAGGUGAGCUAGAACAGUAAACGUAAACAACAAUGUAAUCUUAUAGUCUCGAGGUUUGCCAUCCUACUCUGCUGUUGGUUCCUAAUCAAAUCCAAUUUCUCCAAAAUGCAAAGAUUUCUAAAUCCACUUUUCUACCCUUCAUCUUGCAUUGGAGAUGAGACAGCCCCUGCAGGAGAAAUUAACAUAUUUCGACAGAUGCCUGAACCUUGGAGUCUAACAGCACGCUAUGCUCAAGUACAACUCAUAUGCUAUCCAGUGCCCAAAAUUCUGUUCCAUAUAAAUCAUGCUAAUUUACAGCAAAAGUAGUUUGCUUCGGAGAUCUCUAAAUCACUCUAUUCCUAAUACACAUUCUCAAUUCCUCCCAUGUGUGACAGAAAAUUUAAUCAUGUACUCUGACAAGUUUAAGAAAAAGAGGCAUAUAUAAAUUUUAAUUGUCAUCUAAACCUUAAUCCUAUACACCGUAAAACUGUAAGAAUAACCAUUAAUUAUUUAAAUUUCAAACUAUUCUUUUUUUGAAAAAUAUUGCCAAUAUUUCUUUGUUUUAAACAAUAGACCGUCGACUUCAUUAAUCCCCUUCAAUGGCAUUCACUCCAAUUUAACCGGCAACAUCUGUCAAAGCCUAUCAUUGACAAACGUCUCUCUUACAGCUUCAAUCCAAGUUACUUACAGCUCUUCACCUUUGUCUUUUCCGACAUGCUUACAACAUUGAGCUGGCAAUGAAAUCUCGCGUUAUUGAUGCUGUACAUUCCCAUACGAACUCAGCUAGUCCCACUUAAACCUCAGUUAAUAAGAGCCAUAAUUUUGUUCUCCCUAAAACCACAUCUUUCCAUAUUACUACACAUUCACAUCAAAUAUUCUCAUAUCAAUAAUGCCUGUGUUUGGACCAUUCUAUCAUCCGACACUCCAUCUGUGUAUUAUAGUUUGGGACUUAUUUUUGCCUUCUAAUAUUUCCUCCCAAGUUUCCAAGGCACCAGAUGCUCAGGAAAACCACAAUGCACAUCUCCACUAAAUCAACCCAACUUUGUUUCUGUCAGAUAUUUCAUGUCUCAUUUUUCUAUAUAUUAGAGUAUCCAAUGGAAUAAAUACAAUUCCAAUAUGGUAUCUUUAGGCAAACAAUUUUUAUUGUAGCUCAAUUUUCAUUUUUCUGCCAAAAUAAUGUAGGAUAUUAGUUCUGUCAGUAUUUAGACCUUUGUCCUUUGCUCUCCUUUCACAACAUUAAUUUACAUUCAAUGCUAGCAUUCUUUCAUUAUACAUCAUCUCACCUCAUACAUUCAACAAUAUUCACCUAUGAAAAGCAUAUAAAGGUAUGUGCUGUGCAUCAAUUUCCAAUAAAAAACUUAUUUUGCAGAUAGCUAUAAUGUUUAAAGCUCUCAUUUAAUCUUCCGUACAUGAUACACGCCUUUAACAUUUUCAUUCUAAAUCUUUUUAUUACACUUUUCACCUUAAGCCCACAAGUUAGACUUUCUAAUAAUUUCCAAGUCAAUAAAUCUUUGCAGAAUUUCUGUUAAAUUUUUCAUUGGUCAUAUAAGGUAGCUUCCAUAGUUCACCAUCUCAACAUAAACCAAAAUUAUUUCGAUAGAUUAUUGACUUAUUGUCAUCUUUUCUCUAGGAAAUUAGAACCUAUAUAGAAAUCCAAACAAGAAUAUACAAAAAUAUCUCAUAAUCCUAGCCAAAAUAACAUGUAGUGUAUCCAAUACAUAUAGCCAAACAAGGAAAUGGGUACAUAAACAAGGCAAACAUACAACAAGAAAAAUUACAACAAUAAAGGAACUAAAAGGGUGAUAAUUGUUAUAUCAUUGUGGUAAAAAAGAAGUGGCAAUAACAUUGAAAUGCCAAAGUCUAUCCUUAUCAAACCUGCAAAAUCCAAGAAACUGAUUCAAUUCCUUCCAAGUACCCCACCACAUUAUGUGCUAAGAUUUGGCAACAAGACAAGCUCACCAUGUAACAUUGUUGCAAAGGGUAUCCAAGAUAACAUGCACCUUUUUAUGUUUAAGUCUCCCAAAUGGUUGGAAUAUGUUUCCUGUGUGCUUUCUAUUUUUGGCUGUAAAAUAAUUACAUUACUUUCAUAAUUACAUCACUUAUCUAAGCAAGUUUUCCUCAAAAUUAAAAUAAUAGAAAAUUAAUUCACUUAAACCAUGUUAAAAUUAUCAAUUUCCUUGCAAUCCUCAAAUAGUUCAAUAACUCAUAUAUGGUAUCAUGAUCGCAAAAAUACACCAUUGAAGGCCUAAUUAUAGCCACUCAGCCUUGUUUUGUCAAACUGAACAUUUUACAGGUUUUGAAGUUUGUCUUGCUUCAUUAUCUAGAAUAAAUAAUUCAUUAAAAGAUCCAAAGCUUUUCUUCAAUUUAUUCAUUAUUCUCAGCAAGAUGAUAUGCAAUUUGAUCCCAUCAAUCCUCUAAAAGUUUUAGGUAUUUCACCCUGGUCAAGAUUUUAAAAUGGGUUAUCCAUUUCCUUCACAAUUUAUAGUUAUUCCAUACUGCUCCUACAACCCUCCAUGAACAUUUCGCAACCAAAUCUUGUCCAUUCUCCAGCCACUUUACUCAUAUUCCAACUCUUAGGAUUAGCUUGCGCAUGUUGCAUCAUCUAAGUGGGCAUAAUACUUGCCCACAACUAAGUAUUCAACUAAGAUAUUUGGUAAUUGCUCCACAACAUCCAAAAUUCAUUUUGAUGUUUUCAAUAAGAAAGCACAAGAAAUUUAAAUAAUCAUGAGAGCUGACUUACUGAAAUGUAGCAUCUUUUCCCUCAUUUCUUCUACUAGUUCAUAUAUUCAGAUUACAUGGUCUUCUAGCAAAUCAGAACAAGCAACAUUGUUCUCCUAUCCAGAUAAUCAUUAUGCAUAAGCAAAUACCAGAUUAGAAUAUCAUAGUAUCAUAGAGGAAAAGUGUUCUGGUUUCUUAAAGAAAAGGAAGCUUCCAAGUUGAGAACCCUGGAUUCUUUUCAUGAAGCUGUUGCACUCAUCAUCUGAAUCUAGAAGUUCGCUGAACUGGCUUCUUGAUCCACAUGUUAUUUUGGUAGACUGUAUCAAAAGAAAUGGUAGUACUUGGCGGAGAAAAUCUGGAAUGCUAUUCAGAAUCUUGUCAGUUCCUAGUUGACAAUUGAUGCAUAAUUUUGUUUAAUAAAAACAGUUUACAAACCACAUUUAUGAUGAGGGUGUAUUUUUUGAACAUUUUAUUUUUCCCUACCAUCUUGAUACUAGGAAGGAGGUUCUCCUAGGAUUUGCUUAUUGAUCAUUUUAUCUCAACCUCAUUUAAAUUACAGGUAAAAAUAUCUGUAUACAUCAUCAUCAACUUCCUCUACUAGACUAUAUCUCUCAAGGCUCAUAUGCUGUUGUUUUAAACCAAAUGAUGAAAUGAGCUCAAGAAAAGAGUCUUUUUGAAUUGCAUUUACAGCCAAAAUUAUAGGUUAGAAAGACACAAGUGCAUGAAUGUAAGAGAAAUAUUCUCACAAACAUCAGAACCACAUUAUUUUGUGACAAGAUAUGUGAAGUAGGACAAUACCAGUUAGGGCUGCCUACGUGUGAUAGUGGGCCUUGAGACAAAGGAAUAGUGAUGCAAAGGACUUUGUUGCUGGCUGUCCAAAUACCUAGAUUAAGACAAUAAAUAGGAAACUUAAUUUACUCCACUUGUGGAGCACUAGAUGUGAAAGGAUGAACCAAACAUGAUCUAGAGCUCUUAAACAAUCAAAUAUAGGUUAUAAUCAUAAUAGAUCAAAUAAUGCACAGAUUAUAUAUGCAAAAGGGUUUUGAAUUUUUUGAAUUAAAGAAAGUAAGUAAUAUCAAAACCCUAAUGAUACACACACACACACACACACAUCUGAGAAAGAACUUAGCACAUAAAGCAAUUAGACUAGUGUAGCAAAUAAAUAUAAAUAAAACAAUGGUAUAACAAGCAGCAAACAGCAAAGGGAACAAGAGGCAAAGAGAACGAAACUAUUAGAGAAAGAAGAGUGGAUAAUAAAGAUAUGGGAGAAGUACGAAAUAGAGAACCGGCCGAACUAGCCUUUCUUUCCUUGAACCAUCAUACAAGAUUCAAGGAACUAUCCCGAAUUGCACAAUUUGGGACAUACCAAAUUGAAUCAGUCGGUUAUCGAGAUGGAAUGGUCUACUGACUCGGUUUGGGCUUUAAAACCCACGCUUGUCUCGCUUGCUUCACUUGCUCGCCUCGGGUAGGGUUUCAUCAUUGCAACCACUGCCAAUGACAACUCGGUACAUGUCCUCUUCUCUCUCAGUUUCUCUCUCGCCCUCUCCGCUCUCGCUUGCCUCAGCUAGGAUUUUGUCAUCACCACCAUCGCCAACAACGACAACUACAACCAGGUACACAUCCCCNCCCUCCCUCCCUCCUCUCUCUCUCUCUCNCUCUNNNNNNNNNNNNNNNNNNNNACGACACUCCCCUCCCCCUCCCCUCCUCUCUCUCUCUCUCUCGCAUGUCUCUCUCCCCCCCUCCCUCUCCUUUACCCUCUCUCCCCCUCUCCCCUCUCCCCUCUUGGUUCAGUAUAGCUCAGAUCAGUAUGGUACAUACUAGCAUCGUACCAAACUAGUCACCAACUAAUACGAUACCCGAUAAAAGUUUGGCAAACCUUGCAAAAUACAACACCUUGCAAUAGACCUUUUUGGACUCCCUAGAAAGUUCCUACUUGGGGUCAUCUAGGAUUCUUACAAAUAUACAAAGAAAUCAUCAACCAACUCUUUUGACUCUUAGUAGGACCUUUUAAAGAUCAUGAUUACUAUAGUAUAUACUAUUCAUGCUACAAGGACAUGAACACAAAAUCCAAGUUACUUUCAUAUCUAAAUACAAUUAUUGAAAGAAAUUAAAUACAUAAAUUAGAUCUAGAUGAUUUCUAAACUAAAUAAAAUAGAGAAACUUGUACUGUUGCACUUUUGUUGACUACUCUAUGAACCCAGAGGAUACUCCUGCAUCAACAUGCAUUUUGCAUAAUGAAAUUUCACCAUCAUAAGUAACCCGUUUCUUAAUAUUCUAGAUGCAAAAGUAAACAGACAUGCUCGUCUGUUCAUCACUUUCCAUUUAAAAUUUUUUAUCACUUCAAAAUUCACUAUUGUGAAUUAAAAAUGAAAUAUUAUUGUUUAUAAGGGGAAAAAAAAACACUCAGCUAUUUUCAAACUCAGAAAAUCAAUAGAAAAUUAUACAACAAAGACAUUGAGGCUAGACAUGGAACCAUCAGUGAUGGACAUUCAAACUUUUUUACAGAAUGUACUUAAGAUAGACACAAGAGCGCUACCUGAUCAACUUAUUUGGGGCCUGAGAUGCUUGAUACUUGUCUUCAUUGCCGCUUCUCCCAUCACCUCCCUUUCCGCCUAGCAACCAAACACACCCCAUGAAACCCAAAUACAAGAAAGGUGACGAUUUGAUCAUAUUCUGAAGGAACGCCCAACUAGAGAUUUCACUCAGGAUCGUGAGUCUCUGACUAGCAACCAAACACAACCGAUGGAACCCAGAUAGAUGGAACCCAGAUACAGGGAAGGUAACAUCUUGAUUCCAUGCUGAAGGAACCCCCAACUAGAGACUUCACUCAGGAUAGCGAGACAAGCAAUCAAGACCCUCGGUUCGGCUACGUACAAUCCUAUGGAAAACCUCCCUCACCUGGCGUUCCAGGGGGUCCAGGCCUCCGUCCAUGGACUGGCAAACCCGGCCCAGCUCCUCCACCCCCUGUCUUACCUCUGCCUCCUUCUCCUCCAUCACUGGAAACUGGAUUGAAUCCAUUAAUUCCGUCAGGUGGUGAGCGCACUUCUCCAUCCGGUGGAUUUCCUUCAAUAGCCCGCUCGAAUUCUUCCGUUCCUUUUUCUUGGACUCCUCAACAAUCCGUUCGUGAAGCGACAGGAUGGGGGCCGCCCACGGGUAGCUCCGGGGGAUGGAGAGGUGGAUUCCAAGGCCACGGUCCUGGCAGGGGAUUGCGGCAACAAGCGCCCACAUAACGAAGAGGAGCACCGAGCUCAUGGUGAAGACAGCUACCACAAGGCCGCCGGUGGCCACGACCUCGUGGCCGCGGGGGGCGGCAAGGUUGUUCCCGAUCGCCUGGAGCUGGCGGGCGGCGGACCAUGACCGGGAGACGCUCCAGGAAAGGGAGCGGAAGUGGCCACCGGAGGAGCGGCGGUAGUGAUGGGGGUCGCGGCUAGAGGAGCCGCUGCUGCGGCCGAAGGAACGGUUGCGGUGGGAGAGGACGGAGCCGGUGGCGUCCUUCUCGUCGAGCAUGAGAAGGGUGAGGUCGGUGAGGGCCUUCUGUGCCCGCCGGAGCUGGCCCUCUCCGAGGGCACCGCGCCGCUGCUUCCGUGGGUCGGCGAGCGCGACGAGAACGAUCUCCAAAUGCUUCCGCCACUGACGGAGCUGCUCAACCCCGUCGCGGAUCGCGUUGCAGACGUCGAGAGCCUUGACGCCGCGCUCGAAGAAGUCAGCGAUCAUCCGAUCGAGCGGCGGCCGACCGAAGGCGGCGCGGUGGUUGAAGAGGACCACGCGGAACUCCUCCUGGCACACGAGGAAGGUAUCCAAAAGCUUCCGGACCCAGGCAAGGGACAGAAGGUCAUCACCGGCGGAGGCGGAGAGGUCGUGGAAUAGGGCGGCGAUGCGGCGCUGGAAGGCGUCCAGAUCCUGGUCCAGGCCGGCGUCGUGGUGGUGGCCGGCGUCCAUAGCGUGAAUCUGCUCCCGCCGUGUGCUCAAGAUCGAACGGCCAAUCGACGAGAACGGCGUCGAUGAUCCCUGGUAUUCGGUGGCGGGCAUUGUCACAUCCCACGAACCCUAGCUCUCUCUCUCUCUCUCCGCCCCCGCCGAACCACCACCGACGGAACCCUAGAAUUCGCCGGAACCACACCAAUAAGGCACCCGAAAACCCUCGCACACAAUCGAAUUCGAAGAAUAAACAGGAGGAACCUGGAAUUGGAUGGUUGGCGGAUGUAGAACCCCGAGACGGAGCUGGGAUUUUAUGCCUCUCGGCCGACUCCUCGCCCCUCGGACAAAAAUAGGCUAAUGCUGGGUAAAUUUAAUUAUUUUAAUAAUUUUAUCAAGAAAAAAAAAAUACACCGUGGGAGUGACCGCGGAAGGCGGGACGACGGUCCGCGGGACGACAGGCGGUCACUCCCACGGUCGAGACGCGAUCGGCACGCGAAGGGACACGUGGCGGAAGAGCGAUGUAGACCGGUGAGGGCCGGGCUGGGUCGGGUCGGCGCACGCGUGAGGUUGAGAAGCCGUAAUCCCGGGGACGGGGCCGUCUGACAUGUACGGUUCACCUGCCAGGGUGAAAGAGAACCGGGUCGGGUCUCUCGUGCGCGGAAUGUUUCUAGAAGCACCACGGGAUUUCACGACGGCAGCGCCCCCGGUCGCCCCAACCGGCAGGCUGGCGCCGUGGUUUAAAAUAUCGCCGUUAUGUUACAGCUAUCUUUCCCCAUGAUCUUUAAUGCCAUCACGUUUUGUCACGGGGAUAUGCUUCGGGGUUUGUGGUAUAAAAAUAUCGGUUCUGUUGUCGCGAUAUGCCAUCGAUUUUGCCAGCAUGGUUGUAUCCUGGAGAACUGCAAAAAAAAUAUAUUUAAUUCAUCUAAUAAUAUUAAUUUUGUUAACGUUUUAUCAUAAAAAUUGUAUUUUACCUAACUCUGAUUUUGGAAGUUAAAGGUGAACGUCUUCUAGUUGAAAUUUUUAAUUAAAAAUCAUCUAUUUAAUUGACUAGAAAAAUUAUACAUUUUUGAAGAAGAUAGGUUUCAAGAUGACGGCUAAGUCUUAGCUGUUAUGUGUAAACCACUUGGUACUCGUGAGAUAUCACAAAUUUUUUAUAUUUUUUAUUUAUUACAGUAAUUACGGUUUGAUGUUCUUCUUUUCAUUAUUCAUUUUGGCCAGACAGGAAGAAUUUCGAUUAGUUUUUGUUGAUCAAGCUGUCUUUUAUAGAGCUUAUGCUUAUCACAAAGUAAUCAUCUCGGAAAGAAAAUUAGCUAUUUUUGCUGGAUAAUGUGACCUUCAUCCAUGUUCCAACAAUAGUUUCUAAAUUUUAACCUUCAUUUCAGUUUAAAAAUUGUAGAUUAUCCUAUAAACAGUGACUCAACGAUACUGUUUGAUAGUUCACGUGCGACACCCAGUAAUAUAUUUACCAAUCUUUUGUCUUUUUUUUUGGUAAAAAAUUCACCGAUCUUGUUUAAAAACAGGAAAACAGCAGCGUGUCCAGAACACCGGUCGCAGAACGGUGGCGAGUGCAUUUUAGCGAGAAAACUUUUGGCUUCCGCGGUUUGGAAGAAUUGAAAGGGUCUACGGUACCGUGUCCGCGAGCAUCAAGUCCACCCCAGGACCGGUGAACCACAUGCAACCCUGGACCACCAGAAAGGACCAUGAUAAGAUGGCCGGGGAGUGGGGCACACGUUACCCCGGAGAUGGAGAUGACGUCAGGCAUCACGAUGCUAAGUGGGGUCCACGAGAUGACAGGUGACGGCCCAUCCACGUCAGCAUAAAGGAAUAAAGUAAUAAUAUGAGCGGAUUACCCGGGAGCACGUGGGACGGGAUCUCCAAUGGGAACGGGAACGGGUGCACCUGAUGUUUGUGUCCAGUGUAAUUUGCGGCGAUGUUUGAAAUAUAAUCUAAUAUGUAGAACGGGCAACAUCAAUCCCGUUUAACUGAAAUGAGGUAAAUAAUAAAAAUAAAAAACAAGAUAAUAAAGGUAAAGUAGGGCGCUCCAAGGUGUACAUACAUAAAUGUACACACAUAUAUACAUAAAUACAUACAAUAAAUAAUAAUAAAAUGAUUAAAGGGCUAUCUAUAUUUUUUUAUGAAACAUGCUGUAGAGUCUAAUUCUAGCAUCUAAUAUUUUCUAAAGCUGUCACAACUUGUGACACGAUACGAUAAGAUUGAUAUUGGAUGGCAUAUCUUUCACCAAUCCUCUCGCAUAGACAGCAAUUAAAAGAAUUUGGAACUAGAUCGGGCCAUGCUACUGCUUUGUCUAAAUUGCCUCAUAAUUAUUAGUCUCCUAUUUUUCUUAAUUGUCUAAAACUCAAAAUAUAUAAAUUAAAUUGCAGACAUAAACAGGAGAUCAUCUUUAGUUAGAUUUUCUAGCUAAGCAGAGCAUAAUGCCCUUCGUAUGUAAGAUUAAGUUUCCAAACCGAAAACAAACGGUUUUCCAGGUGCAAGAAUCAAAUUCUAUUUCAGGACAAGAAAUUAUGUGAGAUUGAAGCCUUUCACUCUAAUGGAUUUCUCGACCAAGUCAUGCAAGCAAGAAUACUUGUUCAACAUACAGUUUAUAGAUUCCAACCACAAGCAACAGAUUGGAAUGUUAUUGGUUUGCGUUAUGAUUCAAAUUUUGAUGAGCCAUGGUAGGUGAAUGGAUCAAAUAGCCAUUGCAAGUCAGAUAGAAAUCUGAUAAUGAAUAUUUAAAUGUUAGAACUUGCAUGCAAAAAGCCUGUGCCACUCGGAUGUCUCCCUACGUUUUAGAUAUUAUAAUACAUUUAGAAUUAGGUGUUAUAAGCAUAAUUUUUGAACUUUUUUAUUUAAUUGUAGGGCCAAUAGAUCCAGAAAACACGCAACUGUGAAAUAAGCUACCAAAAUUUCAGGGGUCAAACACAUAAUAGUUGCAGAAUUUCGUUAGGAAGAACGUGCAAUUUGAGCAUGGCUUGGCAUAAUCCGUUAAAUGCGGUCAAAUAUCUAGUGCAGUUUACCGACAACUCAAUGCAAUUGGCCAUGGUUUUGCAUGGGUGGCUUAAUUAGAUGCGGUCCAACACACUUUAAAUGUUAUUUCAAACAGACAUGAAAACUUGCAAGCUUGCUCUGUCACUUCACGGAUAUUAAAGAAACGUGAACAACAACAUCUAUAACAUUGGGAACUCUUCUGAGCCCCAGCUAACCAUGCAUGAAUCCUGUCAUCAAUAUACCCUUCCCUUAAUGACCACGUCCUUCCACCAAAUUCAUUCUUACUAGGUAUCGUAAGAAGAUAAAUAAAAGACACUAUACAUUUUUCGAAUCUAUAACAAACGUAUUAAUUGAAGAAACUAUAAUCACCAUCAAACAAUCACACCAAAGCCACAGCCACCACCCAUCCAGACUUCCUAUUUCUUUGUCACGUGUUCUAAUAUCAGAGCAGACCACCCAACCUUUGUAAUUUUCCAGCGAAGUCAUACUAGACCCACAAACUCUAUCUCGAUCAUAAUCAGAUAAAUUAACUAUUUCUUCCAACCGCUGCCCAAAUCCUCACCGUGAGUUCAAACAUCCAAUUAACCUUUUUGCCCCCCCACAUCCCAUGCACCCAACAGGUCACCAAAACUGGCUAAAGGCAUUUAGCAUUGCUUAAAAAAAGUAUUAUUACAUUAAAGCAAAAAUGAAUUUCUCAAAAAAAUAAAUAUUUGGUAACAAUACAUGAAAAAUUCUUCUACAAGAAGAGAAGUCACAAACCUAGCCCCCCUCCUCUCUCUCUCUCUCUGAAACAGAAGCAACACCAUACUUUUAAACUAGCUCCAAAAGUCUUACUAGAUAAUUAAUAAUGCAAAAACAAUACAGGUCCAAUCUCCUCCCUGCUGUUUGAUCUUAACAAUCCACGAAGUCGGCCAAGUUGCAGAAUAAUUGCCUACAACCGGUCCCGCUCCUACCAAAUAACUGCAGAUUGUAGUUGACUUUGAUAAGCAAGUGGGCAUAACCCGUUGAAUAUAUGGAGUACGCUAGAGAUCAGAAUAAGCUAGCUAAUCAGUAUUAAAAGACUCUCCUCCUCAUUUGUUUAAUGGACAUCUAGCAUCAUAGGAGAUUGUAAGUAUGACCUCCACCAUCCGUUGCUGGGCCUUCCAGAUUGUUUGCAGCCGUAUGUCUUGGACAUUUGGUGACGUAGUCCAUGAAGAACAUGCCAAAGCAUUGUUAAGCGGAAUACGGCGUCAGAAGUAACCAACUGAAUGUGAUUGGGCUGAUGUUGAUGGUCCAAUAUACAAUGGAUCAGGGGCCAGCAAUGCACGGACGCUCCAAAUAAAUUAGUAGAAAUUGUUUGUGCACCCUCCGAACAUAUAGCGCACCACUUCAUCUUAUUGAACCAUGCAACCGUCACUUUUCAAUGCAUAUUUAAUAUCUAUAAUUUUAUUUUUUAUUUAAAAUAUUUAAUAUUAAAAAUAUUUUUUAAAAAAUUAUGACACCUCUUUUUAAAAAUUAUGGCAUCCCUUCACAAAAUUAUAACAUCCCUUUUUUUCAAAAAAAUUAUGACACUUUUCACAGAAUUAUAAUAUCUAUUCAAAAAAAUUAUGACACCACUCCUUCACAGAAUUAUCAUAAUUUUAUAAAAAUAUCAUAAUUUUUUAAAAAUAUAUCAUAAUUUUUAUGAAAAAAUAUCAUAAUUUUUUAAAAAAUAUAUCAUAAUUUUUAUGAAAAAAAUAUCAUAAUUUUUAAAAAAAUUAUCAUAAUUUUUUAAAAAAUAUUUUAUUCAUUCAAAAUUUCAAAUAAAAAAAUAAAAUUAUAGAUAUUAAAUAUAUAUUAAAAAAUGAUAACUACGCGAUUUAAUAGAAUGAAAUAAUGUGCUCCACGUUAAAUUUUUUAUACUACGAAUGAUGCAAAAAAAAAUUAUAAAUAAAUAAAUAUCAAAAAUUUAGAAAUAUAAAGUACAAACAGCAGCAAGCCAUACUACGAAGGCAUGAGUUGCCAUGCAGAGCCCGUUAUUAAAAGCAUGAGCUAAAUAAAAUUGUAAAUUUGGAAUACAUGAUACGAACAAGACAUAUAAACCACAAGCUAGAAACAAAAUGGUUUAGAGUUUCUUGCAGCCUUGAGUCACCUUACGUUGGUUUAAAACAUCCUGAUCGAAACAGCCAUUAUAAUUUCACCGUAUCUGAACAAUUGACCGAAAAAUCUUUAUUUGCAUUUACGACCGCUGGCGUUUGGCUUGAUUUGGAUGUUACCACCGAAAUAAAAACAAGUUCCAGAAACCAAGUUACAGACUAACUCUGGAUUCCUUCUUAGAUACAAGUAUGAACAUGAAUGGGUUGGUACCAGACAGGAAAAGUAAUGAACUAUGGUGGGAAAUCCAGCAAUUUGGCUGUUACCUAAGCGGCCAUGGACAGAAACCAUUCAGGCCACAUACACGGUCACAACCAUGAAAAGGUUGCCAACAAAGAUAUACAAGGAAAACUCGAGUUUAAAUUGCACACUUCGCGAUAGUGCUUGUUUUCUUUUCUUUCGUUUUUUCAGAUGUAGAUUAUCCCUUGUUUUCUUGUGCACAGUGCACAGUGCACAAAAUGAACAUUAUCUUUGAUCACUACCAAGACAAUUCAUUUGUCUGAUCUUCUAUUCUAGCAUUCCCAUGACUACGUCUUGGAGUAACGAAGAAUCCAUGAAACUUCAAGCAUGUGAAGGGGCAGAUCCUCAAAGCCAUGAACAGCACCUAAAUAAAAUGGUCCUUCCUUCCGGGUAUUCUUUCCGAUGCCUGCAGGAAUCUGCAACAGCAACUUACAGCUGCACGGUUGAGGAGAUGUGCAGGAAUUCCCUGAAAUCUCAAGUCACAAAAGAAUGACAGCAUGCAUUUAGAGUCAACUACUUGGAAGCCUUCCACAUAUUCUGGGCCUCUAUUCAAGGGCGCCCAACAGGCAGUCCACUAGAACAGAAUGGUAUCGAAGCAUUGUUCCACCAACACGGAGUCAUGUGUUAGGCAGAAAAUUUGCGUAUUGACAUAUUAUUUUGAAAGAUUCCAAUUUAAUAAAUCUGUUAUCAUAAAAGCUUCAAUACUCAACCAUUGUUUUCUAUGUCAAUUGCUUUAAAAUUAAAAAGAAAAUGCAAACAACUGCCAGAAUAAAUAAUAGAUAUAGAAAAAAUGAAAAAUCCAACAAAAAAAUAAUAAUAUAAUGGAUUGAUAACCCCUCCAACAUUCAAUCUUGUGGUUUAAAUAGAACCAGACACUACCAUAAUGUCAAAGUAGUAAAAACAUGUAGACUGAGUACAUGCAGAAACAUGGAUGAGAAACAUUAAUGAUCAUUAAGGUAUACAAUAAGAAAGGUUGGAAACCAUCACAGAAGCAGAUAAAAACCCUCCCAACAGACAAAACGCUUUGUUAUUUAGGGAAGACACAUGCAAUCGCUCCCAACGCUCUUAGCAGAAAGUUCUCUAGUUUUUGAAAAAUGAUUAACAGUACUUGGGAAAUCUUGGACAGAAAUCAUUCUUCCUGUUUGUCACAUCUGAGAAUAAUAAAAUUUUGAACCCGGCAACAUCAUCUAAUUGAUCCAAAUUGACAGAUGUCUCCAAUGACUGUUGUCCACGAUCACUUAAUAGAACACGAUAUAAAAGGCUCUUCCGCUACUUCCCAUGCCACUGUAACAGAAAACAGAAUCAGCCUUAUCCAUUGCAAUAAAAUCAGCAAUUUAUUCCCCAGGAAUUGUUAAUACAACUAAAGAAAAAAGAUUUACAGUUGGUCUAAAUAAAGAAUGCUAUUCCUCUCGGAGUCUUUGGUUUGUAAAAUAAAGGGGUUCAGUAAACCAACAUGCAUGACCAACUGGCCACCUAAUUGAUAGCUACCCAGCUGUGUUGAUGGUCCACCUGAUCUGAAACCAAUUAAUACCCAGCCUAUCAACCAAACAGGAAGAAAUCAGUUUUUAUUUGAUGGGAAUUGCAUCAUACAAUUUGGAGGUUAUUAUGCUGCCUGCAAUGGUCCAUGACUGACUAGGAAGUUGGAGCACCAAAUGGAUAUGCUUCAUUCACUUCAAGGACAAAAGAAACCAUACUUACGGUCUAUCAUGCAAUUACAGUUUAAGUUCAUUGCCUUAUUUACGUCCCAGCAGACAACUUAAUUGUUCACUUGAGCACUACAGCAUAUCACAUUAUGCGAGCACUUACAGUUUAAAUUAGGAUACAAGCAUAAAUAAGCAGCAGCUUAUUCACUUGUUUUAUAUCACAUAGACUGAAAACACGUAUUGUUCUCAAUGAAUCCAUGAGUUUACCGCUGCAGGUAACAACUACAAAGUUCCAAGCAGAUGAGUGAUGACUAGUUCUCCAGUAAACCUAUCAUGCCCAUAAUUUAGCAGAGGAUUCAGUAAUCAAUCAACAAAUACUUAGCUUAUUGUUUGAUCUACAAGACCAAUAAACUUGUGUUAUUAGGGAGUAGCCAGGGCUCUUUGUAUCUUUUUCUAUAGGGUUUUCCUGUGUGACUGGUACUCCCCAGCUCCUUAAUCCCACCCCAAGAAACAAAGCUACAUAACAUGAUCCUAAAUGGUUGCUUAAUCUCAAACACGUAAUAGUAUUUACACAGGUAGUUCAAAUUAAACCUAGCAUCAUUCAAUUUUGCAAUGUCUGCCUGAAACUAGACAAUUAGAUCUCUGAUUACAGAGCAUAUUAACCACUAAGAAAGUUUCAUCUCAAUUGUCAUGACAAAUCUUUCAUCUGUGAGAAUUUCCAUGAUGCAUCCUUUCAACCCAACUCAAGAUUUUUUCUGUAAAAACCACCACCAUCUUCCACCAUGGCAAUAGGGAACUAGGGGAUGACAGAUUGCAUUAUAAAAACAGUCUAAACAGUGAACCAAAAGGGUAUAACAUAAAACAGCUUAAAACAAGCAAAUCACAAAAAUUCAACAAUUCUGAGUAAAUUUAACAAUUUCAACAUGAGCACAAAAACAGGUAUGAUAAAGUCACAUAUCCAGACAGGAAUAGUAUAUGUUUUCCUUUUUGGGUAAUAAAAAGUAGACAGCAAAUAGUCAAGGGGAUACAUGGUUACAGAACAUGGUGCCCUUCACUGCAAAAUCAUCUGUCAUUAAUAAUGACUGCUUCAAGUACCUCUUUAAAAAAAUAAAAUAAAAUAAAAUAAACUAAUGCACUGCUUCAAAAUUUCAACAGAAAACUUUGGCAUCGAUUUGGACAAAAGCAAGCUGUUAGCAUGCAUUGUUUGGGUCCUUGAAAGAUUAUGUGUAGUCAUACUUUAAUGAAGACAAAAAACUCAACUUCAAAGAAUUAACAAUCUGUAGCAAAACAAAAUUAAUAAUUAUCAAGCUGCAAAGUGAAACUCAGUUGCAGUAACCUCAGCUGUGAUUAAGACACAUUCAUAAUUAAGAUCCACAAUGUCAUGAUUACAACAUCAACCAUAGAAAGAACUGUUAAUUAGCUUAUCAGAAACAAGCAAGGGCUACAAUGCCGCUCAACAAUUCAGUCUAAAAUAGUAUACACUUAAAUAAAAGGCUACAAAAGUCAGGAGCAAUGUGAACAAUAAAUAUUCAUUUAAAGCUUUGAACUAUCCAUUAAAAAGGAUAUAGACAGUGAUAGGGACAAUGGUAUGGGUAAAGUUUGUGCCAAAAAAACCGUUCUUCAAGCCUCAAAAGAGGAACAUAGUUGAAAUGAAUUUGAAAAAAGAACACAACUACAAACUAAGCAAAGCAUGGAGUUAAAUAUAUUUCAUGGAAAACCAACAAUUGACAUGAAGAGGUUGAAUUAUAAAGCAGACAAUAAAAUAAAACAUAAUCUUACAAGAUAACAUUUAGAAAGGCUAAUGCACUCUCCCAAGUUGUUUUCACAUGAAAUUUUAUACAUAAACCGAAAGCAAUUAUAUCAGCAAAAAGCAACCAUUUAGUGAAAAAUAAGCAAAUAGAAUAAAUGAAAGCAAACAAAUAUACGAAAACUGAUACUUUGUCACGCUUAUCAUGUUCCCUACAAACAUAUGAUUUAAAAGACAAAAAAGAUGGAAUAUUACUAGUGCCUUUUAGCCACUCAAUUUCAACUUUAGGGAAGGUUUGGAAAAAUUUAACGGAAGCUCUUUUACUCUGACAUAAAUCCCUGCUUAAUAAACAUUUACCAAAAAAGGUUGAGAUAAUUGUGUGGCAUUUACAAAUAGCAUCCAGACAAGCACUACAAUAUGCUGCAAUGGUAUCCAUGCAACUGAUCUGAGUUACAGGAAAAGAAAUAAUGAAUCAAAACCAAUAACAGCCCCACACCACCCCCCCCCCCCCGGCCUCCUUUACAUUUACCAUCAUGCUUGUUAGCUGGUUCUUAGAAAUGCAAGUCUUGGUGUCAAAUGACCAAAUACAAAAAUCCAGAAAGCAAAGCUGUAAGCAUUGCUAUAUGCAGAAACAGUUAAGACCCAAACAAGAGAAAUAAAAGCACUGUAAACAAAAGGUUUAAGCAUCAUUACAAUGCAUUUCCAACUAUGCACUUCAUAUAGUUAAGCCCUCAGAUCUCAUAGCUCUAUAAAUUCACCGCGGCUCAAAUAAUGGUAUUUCACUUUGAGCAUUUCAUGUGCAAACAGAAGGAUGUCGUAAAAGAAGAAGAAGAAGAAGAAGAGAAGAGAAAAGAUGGGUCAUGACAAAUAGUAAAAGCAGCAGCAGCAGCAGCAGCAGCAGAGGAGUUGGUGGUGCUGUGGUGGUAUAGCAAGGGCACAGUAAUGCUCAAAAGAAUAGCCAUACAGCCACUCCAUAAACAUGUUUCCAUCAUUGGGCAUCAUCAAAGUUCAAGACACAACAAGAAUCCAACCAAAUAAUCACCAGGAAAACAUCCAGAAAGGCAUUUCUACUUAUCAGUUUAACAUCUAACUCAUAAAAAAAGGGCAUUGUAAUGCUUUGCAAGUUUCAAUAAUGCAAAAAUCCAACGUCUCAAAGAAUCCGCACUUCUGAUUCAAGAACUGAAAUCGAGAUAUAGUGCCAAAAUGUUUAGACAGUGAGAAAGCGUCAAAUACGCGACAUGAACAGCCUUCCGUAUCCGAAAUCUCCAUAAGAAAUCCCAUCUUUUUCUUUUUCUAAAAAAAUGUCAACAAAUCCAAAAAAUUUUACCAAUUGCCCUUUAUUUUUUUAAGGCGGAGAAAACAAUUAAAAAAUCUAAAUAAUAAGUUUCACGAGAGGAGCCCUCAGAUCUCAUAGCUUUCAGCAUUCAUCGACGGCUUAAUGGCUGAUUUUUCAUAGUGAGCAUCUUUGACAUGCAUAGAAGAAGAAGAUGAUGANNNNNNNNNNNNNNNNNNNNCGACGACGGUGAUGGUAAUGAUGAUGAUGACGAUGAUGAUGGCGGCUGCAGUGGGAAUGGUGAUAAGAUUAAAGCACGCACAGAUGCUCAAAAUGAAAGACCAAGAAGCCGCUCCAAAAUCCACAAGGUUUCCAUCAUCGGGCAUUACAUAAACACGACUAACAUCUUUAGCAACAGAAAGAUAAAAUUAAAAUUUAACAAAAAGGUGAAUAGAGUACGCUGGUAUCCACUCCGACGAUCCACAGACUUCUUAUUCAAGGAAAAUCCCCAACAAUAAAUACGUCAAUAAAUCAAACAUAUUUUCUAUUGCAAUACAAAAGCGAUAUCUGGGGAAAAAACUAUGCGAGAACUAGAGAAUUUUUGUUAAAAAAAAAUAGAAAAAACAUUAGGACCAGAGAGAGGGCGAGGAAGGACUUUGGAACCCUAGCGGCAGCGAGACGCAACCAGGCCAGGGCAUUGGAAAACGAAGGGGUUCGCUUACAUAUAGGGGAUUGAUCUUCUAAUUGCCCACUAGAAUUUGCAUUAAUAUCGAAACUGCCAUCAUAGAUUAUUUCUGUUCCUCUAUUUGAUUUGUUGUUAUAUAUUAUCUGUUUCGUAUUUUCCAAAUUUUAAUGUUAAUAUGAAAAUAUAUUGAUUUC